rnacentral:rRNA from 1 species
GACGAACGCUGGCGGCGUGCUUAACACAUGCCAGUCGUACGGUAAGGCCCUUUCGGGGGUCCACGAGUGGCGCACGGGUGAGUAACACGUGAGUAACCUGCCCACAACUUUGGGAUAACGCUAGGAAACUGGUGCUAAUACUGGAUAUGUGCUCCUGCUGCAUGGUGGGGGUUGGAAAGCUCCGGCGGUUGUGGAUGGACUCGCGGCCUAUCAGCUUGUUGGUGGGGUAGUGGCCUACCAAGGCGGCGACGGGUAGCCGGCCUGAGAGGGUGACCGGCCACAUUGGGACUGAGAGACGGCCCAGACUCCUACGGGAGGCAGCAGGGGGGAAUAUUGCACAAUGGGCGCAAGCCUGAUGCAGCAACGCCGCGUGCGGGAUGACGGCCUUCGGGUUGUAAACCGCGUUCAGCAGGGACGAAGCUUUUUGUGACGGUACCUGCAGAAGAAGCACCGGCUAACUACGUG